rnacentral:rRNA from 1 species
AUUGAACGCUGGCGGCAGGCCUAACACAUGCAAGUCGAGCGGAUGAAGGGAGCUUGCUCCUGGAUUCAGCGGCGGACGGGUGAGUAAUGCCUAGGAAUCUGCCUGGUAGUGGGGGAUAACGUCCGGAAACGGGCGCUAAUACCGCAUACGUCCUGAGGGAGAAAGUGGGGGAUCUUCGGACCUCACGCUAUCAGAUGAGCCUAGGUCGGAUUAGCUAGUUGGUGGGGUAAAGGCCUACCAAGGCGACGAUCCGUAACUGGUCUGAGAGGAUGAUCAGUCACACUGGAACUGAGAAACGGUCCAGAGUCCUACGGGAGGCAGCAGUGGGGAAUAUUGGAAAAUGGGCGAAAGCCUGAUCCAGCCAUGCCGCGUGUGUGAAGAAGGUCUGCGGAUUGUAAAGCACUUUAAGUUGGGAGGAAGGGCAGUAAGUUAAUACCUUGCUGUUUUGACGUUACCAACAGAAUAAGCACCGGCUAACUUCGU